UUUAAUCAUAAUAUCAACAACAAACCUAAAUUUAUCGUUAUUGGUGUUGCUCUUCUCUUUCGGUGAUGGCUAAGAUUUCUUUCUUUUUGAUCUUCACUUUAACCCUGAUCAUUACAGCCAUUUCAAGAACAAGUGGAGCAAUGCCAGAAAAACCGUGUAUGCUAGUAUUGAAUCCAAAUUACUGCAACCUCAGUACGUGUCGUAAGGAUUGCGAGGAACAAUAUCACGGAACUGGGUAUUGCGUUGACAAAUAUCCUCACAAAUGCGUUUGUGUAUACGUUUGCUCUCGUUAAAAGGACAUGUCCUGAUGUUUAAUUUGGAAUACGAAAGAAGAAUAUAAAAUGUUUUCUAAUGUUACUUUAUACUAUUGACAGUUGAA